rnacentral:lncRNA from 1 species
AUGGGCCGCCCAGCAUCCGGAGCUGCCUGUAAAGUUCCUCUCAGCGCCUGCAGAAGCUUUGUAGAGGUGCAGCUGACUGUGAUCAGGGGCUUUAUUUGUCUGUGGAAUCUGGGAGCCAGUGGGAGCCAGUGUGAGAAAGGCGAGGUGUACAAGCCUGCCGUCGGAAGUGUUCCAAUCCAAGUUUCUGGAAUUUCAAGCUGCAUGGCAUUAGCUGGCUUCCCGGGACGCCAUUGUGCUCAUACUGAAGCCUAGUAACUCCAUCAAAUUCCCUGCACCAGGCGGGGGCCCUCACAUGCCUAAGCCCUGUCUGCUCGCAUGAGAGCCCCGCAAAUCACCUCUGUGCUCAGGCCUGGCCAGACAUGCCUUGCCCCUAUUGGCCUCCUCCAGCCUCACUCCAGGUCUGGCGAAGCGGAAUGAGGUU